GCCGCGGUUUCCGCACCGUGGCUGGGGGCGGUCUCGGCGCCCUCGGGCCGCCGACCUCCCCGCUGGCAGCGGCCUUCCCCUGCCCAGCUCGGGGCCCCCUGGUUGCCCCCGGGGGUGGGGACCGCCCCAGGGGCUCGGCUUCGUUUCCCUAGAGAGCGAGUUAAAUCCGCCCCGGGCACGCUGCGGAGCGGGCAAAGGCUCAGCCCGAGGGGGCCGCCGGAGCCGACGCCGACGCCGACGCCGAGAAGGCGGGGGCCGCGGGCCGCGGGCCAGUCGCGAGGCGAAGGAGAGGCGGGGAUGUUAGAAGCGGCUUCGCCGGCAAACCCAGAGAAAAAAGAUGGAUGGAUCUUACACCAUGCUUUGAAAGCCAGCUGACUUGGAAUCUACUAGACUAGUGGGAGAAGUGAAGACCAGAGUGAAGGACCCUCAUCUGGAAAUCUCUGUCCCCAUUCCUAGAAACCAGAAGUUCCCAUGCUGACUUGUGGCAGAUACAGUAGAGAGACAAUGUUUCAGGGUAGCCUGAUGACAUGACCAAACCACAAUAGUCGUCACUAUCUGAUUAUUGAGUCUCCUGACCCGUUGGUGCAGCACUUUCGUAUUGGUUAGAUGAUCUCACCAAUGGAUUCCCAAGAUUCUUAUUAAAUAAAGUUGGUGAAAUAUUUUCAUUUCCUGUUGAGUACUUCCACCAUCAGCCAUAUUUCCAAGGCAUACAGUAGUGUCAGAAAGACAAUAGCACUGUAUAAUCUCAUUUGAGUAUGUAGAUGUAUCUUCUUAUUCUUCGAGAUUUGAGUGCAUUGUUAGAAGGAAAUCACCAACCAGCAAAACUAGCCAUGUCUCUCUGCCAUGCUCAGGCCAAAAGCCAGAAUGAAAGUGAAUUUUUAUCACUUCAAAUUAUAUUAAAUCUGCCUCAUCACAAUUUUGUCAAUAACCUGAUUCAAAGAAUAGGAAUAUUAAAGACAUGGUCAUAAAUAAUUAAAUAACAUCAUAAAAACCUAUCUUUUUGUGCCUGGGCCUAACACACUCAUCCCAGAAAAGUUGACAUCCUGACACUACCAGUCUCACUCAACAACAGAUUUGAUAGUUCCAUACUUGAUUUUCCUAGACCUAAGGAGUGAAGGCCACCAUGCAGGCCUUUUAGCACCUCUAGAAUCAUAUUGAAUUCCUAUUCCUCUCUGUGAGAAACACUCAGUUCUGCUUCUGAGCAGAAAUAGCAUAGGUUUGCCAAGCUAACUACCACUUGGAACAAGUUCUCUGGUCAAGUUUACAUGGACAUUCUAGUGGAUGAGAAGAAGCAUGCUUUGCUUUCACUACAGCUACCAUAUAAGAUUUCAAAAGAACUUCUUGACAUAAGAUAUCAGACUCUCUGCAAUUUCUGCCUCUGGUGUUCUCGUCUCCUCCCCAUGCUUCAUUUUUUUGCAUGCCAUCUGUGCACCCAUGAGAAUGGUGUAAGAGGAGAAUAAUUGAGGAGCCACUGCAUGGAUAGGCAAGGACAAAAGAUGGCUAUGAUAAUUAAUGGUAUUAACAAGAACUAAAUCUUCAGUUAUUACUGUAUUGUAUGUAUUAUGACUCUUGGAGAUUUAAACUUUUUGUGCUGAAUGAAUCAUACAUGUAAAUCUGGAUUUAGUGCUGUGAUAUACUUAUGUAUUUUUUUACUCAUGUAUUCUGAGAAAAUUAUUGUUAAAAGAUAAUUUUUUUAAAAAAAGAAUAAAAUAGCAGAAUUAAAUUAUAACUUCAUC